CAUUUAAUAUUCCUGGAUAAAUAUAAAUAUUGGACUUUGAUCGUUUUUUAAUUUUAAUAAUUAAUUAAUAUAUUUUAAUACUAAUAACGGGCGAGAAGCGUACGAAUUACGUAAAAUAAUAAUAUAUUUUUAAGACGUACGACGUAAUUCGUUGGGGUAAGUGUGUCGGGAAGGGCGAUUGGACGAUCGAUGGUGGCGAUUUUGUUUUCCUCCAAUAACGCGGUGAUAUUUACGGUAAACACGGACGAGAUCGGAGUGUGUUCGAGUGCUGCCAGUGACGAGAACGAAGAAGGCGGAUGUCCUCUCGAGUUCAACGGAGGUCGUUCCCUUUUUGUGGCCGAGGUUAGUUUGUCGACAGACAAAAGUCGUCUCGCUUCUUGUCAACGGAAAUCAUUCAGCACGCAGAAGAAAAGGAUGACUCCGAUAAUUAUGAUGUAGAAAUUGAUUUGGAUGAACUUCUCGACAUAGAGGCAGACGGUGCUAAAAAACAGUGGCUUCUGAAUAAGUUAGUUAAUGCAAAAGAUUCAAGAGCUGCAGUAGAAGUAAGUAUUAGACUUUCUUAAUAAAAUUAACAUUAAAAUUCAUCAUAAAAAUAUCAUUAGUUAUUAUUCUUUAUAAGUGCAAGCAAUAUAAAUUUCCAAUUUAAUAUCUUAACAAAUGCAUUUAAUUAGCUAAAAUAAAACUGAUGUUUUCUAUCGAGAUAAUCGAUAGUAAUUGGCAUUACCAUUGCGGAAUGGCAAUGCUCAGCAAUCUGAUUGCCUCCGGUUGCUAUAAAAUGGGAAAGAAAACACUGUCCAAACUACAGUAAACUCCCAUACAAUGUGCAACUACUACAUAUGCAAAAUUCAAAUUUUGUCGUUCAGAUGUAUGUGUCAUGCGUUUUAUGGGAGUUUACUGUAAUAUCAUAUUUUUCAAAACAUACAAUAUUGAUGAUUACAGUAUACUACUACAGAAUCUACAAAUGGAAAUUGGAGAUUAUAAAAGCUCAAUAACUCGGUGAAGUCGUUUGUUUAAGAAAUUACAAAUAUAUUGGCCUAAAGACAAUAAAAAUGUAUUUUAUUUUUUUUAAAAUGACAUCUUUGAAGCAACCUCCAUCUCUACACAGACGUUCCUCUGUACUCAAGUGCAUAUCAAAUAUUACACACUACAACAUUUCCAGUGGAGUUCUGAUUAUUUAUUUUCUAAUUUUGGCAAUAUUAUGUGAGAAGUUCAUGUACCCUUUGCUUUUCAAAUAUAUUUGCAAAAAGAACACGCUGUGACGAAUCGAGGGGGUCUUGUGGGCAAGAAACGUCACUGUUCUUGGAGAUAACAUGACAGAAAUGACCAUCUUAAAACAGUUAUAAACAUUCUGGCCACACAAGCCUUUUCCACAUCUCAUCAGAACCACAUCUGAUAUCUCAAAUGAGAGGAAAGCCAGUUGACUGCAAGGUGGCAUUUGGAGACCUGCGAACCACGUUUGCAAUACUUUCCGGGGGCACAUGCGGUUCUCGCCAAACCCAAAGGCACAUUUUUUUACUGCAGAAUCAAUUUCUUCAAAGUUCUUAAUCUGCAUUGUAACAGCAUGUCCAGACAGCACCGAUUCUUUUGAUGGACAUCAAACCAGCAGCAAAAUAACUGUCGAGAGACUACGUUGCAAUGAUUAUUUUUGCAGUAUGCCUUAACAACAAAUGCAUGCCACACGCUGGUCAGCCACUUUACAACUACCAAAUGCCAUUCUCUCAACGAUGCCACAAGCUGAUGAGCAAGCUUGUGCUACUCCACAAAUACCCAGCAAAAUCAACUUUAAAAGUCUCCCUUUUCUUUGCUUCACCCAGUAUGCAUACUUAAAUAAAAAUACUUAUGCGAGCAUACCAACAUUCAAAUAUAA
rnacentral:lncRNA from 1 species